rnacentral:sRNA from 1 species
CAUAAGUGUCAUAAGUCAAAAUACGUUUCUGCUUGCAGGAGGAGUAUUUUGACUUCAUGACACGCUGAAACACGAGGAAGUAGCGUUUUUUCAUAAGAAAAAACUGCGGAUUCCGAGUGUUUCAAGGAUUGCGAGAGUUUCGAAGAAACGUAGCAAUCCGUAU